UACGUAGGGUCCGAGCGUUGUCCGGAAUUACUGGGCGUAAAGAGCUCGUAGGUGGUUUGUCGCGUUGUUCGUGAAAACUCACAGCUCAACUGUGGGCGUGCGGGCGAUACGGGCAGACUUGAGUACUGCAGGGGAGACUGGAAUUCCUGGUGUAGCGGUGGAAUGCGCAGAUAUCAGGAGGAACACCGGUGGCGAAGGCGGGUCUCUGGGCAGUAACUGACGCUGGAGGAGCGAAAGCCGUGGGGAGCGAAACAGG
rnacentral:rRNA from 1 species